rnacentral:rRNA from 1 species
GACGAACGCUGGCGGCGUGCUUAACACAUGCAAGUCGAACGAAGUGGCGAACGGGUGAGUAACGCGUAAUCAACCUGCCCUCCAGAGGGGGAGACCAGUUGGAACAGAUUGCUAAUACGGCCUACUGAAGGAGGGGAUUGCGUCUGAUUAGCUGGUGGGGGGGGUAACGGCCCAACAAGGCGAUGAUAAGUAGCCGGUCUGAGAGGAGGAACGGCCACAUUGGGACUGAGACACGGCCCAGACUCCUACGGGAGGCAGCAGUGGGGAAUCUUCCGAAAUGGACGAAAGUCUGACGGAGCAACGCCGCGUGAGUGAUGACGGCCUUCGGGUUGUAAAGCUCUGUUAAUCGGGACGCGGUACCGGAAUAGAAAGCCACGGCUAACUACGUGCCAGCAGCCGCGGUAAUUC